UUCGUAUUGUGGCUUUUGCAAAGUAACGGGAAAUCUGAGCAAUCUCUGACAACUUGAAUAAUUAUAAUAUCCAGUAUACAAUACUAGAACUGUCAAUGGUGGAUAGGUCAAUGAUAACGUUAGCUGUAGUAGUUCUGAUCAGUUGAAUGGUCCGAAUUGACAAAUCAACUGUAGGAAAAACAAAAUUGGGCCACUGCAAAUUAUUUUCAAAGUUUUUGUCCCCACGCCCUUCAAAGUUGGCUCUAAAAAUCGGAGGCGAAAAAAUUUGUUAAACCUGAGUAAAAAUGUUUUGUACAAAAUCAAUUAUCUGUGGGUUUAACAGCCUAAAGAACUCGAAAAAAGAGUGUACGGAGUGUUAAAUCUUCUUGCAAGAAACAAAAGUGGAGGUUUCUUUAUGGAAAAUAAUAACGUAUAAAUGAAAAGCGAGAAUUGCUUCGGGUUUCACGAUUAAACUUCAAGACCCGCAUUCGGACGUGGCCGGCGUCGGUAUUGAUCAGCAUGCAGGGACCUGAUAAGGUUGCAUAACGAGGAAUAGCGUGCUGUCCCAAGAAUGCUUUUUUCAGCCAUCAUUUUGCAAUUUUCAUCGGUCCUGGUCAACAACGGAGUAGCAGCACACGGGCGGUAUUCUAUGCUUAUGCUUAUGCUUAUUUUGAACAACAAUCAUCUCAUAAAAGUUUUGCUACCACAAGAAACAUAUUUUAAGCAUUUAUAUACAGUGUGAAACAUAUUUAUUCGAACAAAAACAAAAUCAUGUA